rnacentral:tRNA from 1 species
UCUACUGUGGCAGAUUAAAAUGCAAUGAACUUAAAAUUCAUUAAUAAAUAUAAAUAUUUUCUUUAGAA